rnacentral:rRNA from 1 species
UACGUAGGGCGCAAGCGUUGUCCGGAAUUAUUGGGCGUAAAGAGCUCGUAGGCGGUCUGUCGCGUCUGCCGUGAAAACCCGAGGCUUAACCUCGUGGCUUGCGGUGGAUACGGGCAGACUAGAGGUAGGUAGGGGAGAAUGGAAUUCCCGGUGUAGCGGUGAAAUGCGCAGAUAUCGGGAGGAACACCGGUGGCGAAGGCGGUUCUCUGGGCCUUACCUGACGCUGAGGAGCGAAAGCCAGGGGAGCAAACGGG